ACGGAGGAUGCAAGCGUUAUCCGGAUUCACUGGGUUUAAAGGGCGCGCAGGCGGAAUGAUAAGUCAGUGGUGAAAUCCUACGGCUCAACUGUAGAACUGCCAUUGAUACUGUUGCUCUUGAGUACACUUGGAGUGGACAGAAUGUGUCAUGUAGCGGUGAAAUGCUUAGAUAUGACUCAGAACACCGAUCGCGAAGGCAGCUCACUAAGUUGUAACUGACGCUCAGGCGCGAAGGCGUGGGGAUCAAACAG
rnacentral:rRNA from 1 species